UUUGACUCAUAAAAGCACUACGAACGAAACUUCUUUAUCACCGAGUGCUUGCACUCACCGAUAAAGAGUUGAGUGGCGAACGGGUGAGUAACACGUGGGCAACCUGCCCGAAAGAGGGGGAUAACACUUGGAAACAGGUGCUAAUACCGCAUAACCAUGAAUACCGCAUGGUAUUUAUGUGAAAGGUGGUUUCGGCUACCGCUUUCGGAUGGGCCCGCGGCGCAUUAGCUAGUCGGUGGGGUAAAGGCUUACCAAGGCAAUGAUGCGUAGCCGAACUGAGAGGUUGAUCGGCCACAUUGGGACUGAGACACGGCCCAAACUCCUACGGGAGGCAGCAGUAGGGAAUCUUCCACAAUGGGCGAAAGCCUGAUGGAGCAACGCCGCGUGGGUGAAGAAGGUCUUCGGAUCGUAAAACCCUGUUGUCAGAGAAGAAAGUGCAUGAGAGUAACUGUUCAUGUUUCGACGGUAUCUGACCAGAAAGCCACGGCUAACUACGUGCCAGCAGCCGCGGUAAUACGUAGGUGGCAAGCGUUAUCCGGAUUUAUUGGGCGUAAAGGGAACGCAGGCGGUCUUUUAAGUCUGAUGUGAAAGCCUUCGGCUUAACCGGAGUAGUGCAUUGGAAACUGGGAGACUUGAGUGCAGAAGAGGAGAGUGGAACUCCAUGUGUAGCGGUGAAAUGCGUAGAUAUAUGGAAGAACACCAGUGGCGAAAGCGGCUCUCUGGUCUGUAACUGACGCUGAGGCUCGAAAGCGUGGGUAGCAAACAGGAUUAGAUA
rnacentral:rRNA from 1 species